CGAACGCUGGCGGCGUGCUUAACACAUGCAAGUCGAACGGCAAGGCCCUGCUUUUGUGGGGUGCUCGAGUGGCGAACGGGUGAGUAACACGUGAGUAACCUGCCCUUGACUUUGGGAUAACUUCAGGAAACUGGGGCUAAUACCGGAUAGGAGCUCCUGCUGCAUGGUGGGGGUUGGAAAGUUUCGGCGGUUGGGGAUGGACUCGCGGCUUAUCAGCUUGUUGGUGGGGUAGUGGCUUACCAAGGCUUUGACGGGUAGCCGGCCUGAGAGGGUGACCGGCCACAUUGGGACUGAGAUACGGCCCAGACUCCUACGGGAGGCAGCAGUGGGGAAUAUUGCACAAUGGGCGGAAGCCUGAUGCAGCAACGCCGCGUGCGGGAUGACGGCCUUCGGGUUGUAAACCGCUUUCGCCUGUGACGAAGCGUGAGUGACGGUAAUGGGUAAAGAAGCACCGGCUAACUACGUG
rnacentral:rRNA from 1 species